rnacentral:rRNA from 1 species
UACGUAGGGUGCGAGCGUUAAUCGGAAUUACUGGGCGUAAAGUGUGCGCAGGCGGCCGAGCAAGUCGAGUGUGAAAGCCCCGAGCUUAACUUGGGAACUGCGCUCGAAACUACUUGGCUAGAGUGUGGCAGAGGGAGGUGGAAUUCCACGUGUAGCGGUGAAAUGCGUAGAUAUCGUUUGGAACGCCGACGGUGAAAACAGAUGACUGGGGAUCCGCUGACGCUGAGACACGAAAGCCAGGGGAGCAAACGGG